CCUACGGGUGGCUGCAGUGGGGAAUAUUGGGCAAUGGGCGCAAGCCUGACGCAGCAACGCCGCGUGAAGGAAGAAGGCUUUCGGGUUGUAAACUACUUUUAAGAGGGAGGAGCAGAAGACGGUACCUCAUGAAUAAGCUACGGCUAACUACGUGCCAGCAGCCGCGGUAAUACGGAGGUGGCAAGCGUUGUCCGGAGUUACUGGGUGUAAAGGGCGUGCAGCCGGGAAGACAAGUCAGAUGUGAAAUCCCGCGGCUCAACCGGGGAACUGCAUUUGAUACUGUUUAUCUUGAGUACCGGAGAGGUCAUCGGAAUUCCUUGUGUAGCGGUGAAAUGCGUAGAUAUAAGGAAGAACACCAGUGGCGAAGGCGGAUGACUGGACGGCAACUGACGGUGAGGCGCGAAAGCGUGGGGAGCAAACAGGAUUAGAUACCCUUGUAGUC
rnacentral:rRNA from 1 species